rnacentral:lncRNA from 1 species
AUGGUACAAAGACACAGCUGAUACAAAGAUCUUGGCAAGAAGAGAUAAAACUAAGGCACUGGCAAAAUUAGAAGCUGAGAAAAGUAAUAUUGAAGUGCUGCUCUGCCUGACCAUCCCGUGCAAAUCGGCUUACUGGAAACUGAAGCAGGACACAGACAGUUCUGUGUUGGAAGGAACAGAUUAUUCAAGGAGAGCCUCCCAGAGGCAGUUUUGUCAUGAAACUAGAUGCCAUCAGUCUCUGGGGGAAUGUGAUGGUGACUUGCUUACUUUGGCAUGUCACGUGUCAUCUGCACUGUGGUUUUCAGUUCUGUCCUGAUGCAGCAGUACUUUGGGGCUAGUGUUCUCCACAGCUGCUGCUGGGCAGGCUUGGAACAUGUGGAGAUCCCAUGGCAUGCUAGGGCAUUUGAUUGAUGUGCAGGAUCAAUCCCUUUCACUGCUCAUUUCAACUUUUAUUUUUUGUCAUUGCUUCUUGUAUUUGUGCCAAAGUACUACUGAUACAGGCAUCAGAUAGAUUGCACACUGCAGUUACCUCCUAUUCACACAUGAGUGAAGGCAGUUGGAAAGGAAUUGUCUCCAUUAAGCAAGGAUGAUUUCAGCUGUGAGAAUCCUUGGUAUCCAGACUCAGCCUGCAAUUCAAUCAAGACCCUUUACCUGUACCUCUGCAAGUUAAGAGAUGUUUGGAGCUGAUCAAAGUAAAAGCUGAUGUACAGAUCUGCAAGUUUAUUCAUUAGUAACAUCUAUAUGUUUGUAAUUAAUAUAUAUAUUUGCCUUUCAUUUUGUAUAUUAUACUGGUAAUAUUACAAAUUGUGGAGUGGGUUUUGUGUGUGUGUGUGUGUUUUUUUUGUUAUUUGGUUUUUUGCAUAUUUUAUUUUAUUUUGUCACUCAACCACGUGUGUUAUAAAUAUUUGGAAUUUUCAGGUGAAACUUUCUGAUUAAUGUCAAUCGCUGGCAAAGGCUCCAACUACGUAUGACCAACGUAUUGUAUUCCUAAUCUCUUCAGAACAAAGGGUCUUGUUCCUUUCUAAAUGUGGUAGUGCACAGGGGAAUGACAUCAAUUAUCUUAAUCAACAUUUCAUAUCCAACAGAACAAGGUUAUUACCAAAGGAAAUUGGUUUUAUUUAAAGAGACAUGCCUGAAUAUUUAAUGUCAAUACUUUCCUCUUGAUUCUCUACUGUUUGUAUAAAAUAUGUGAAGUGCAGUUGUAAAAACAACACGCAAAGAUGUUUUGUGGAAUAAAUGAAAUAAUAAAUGCA